ensembl:lncRNA
AGAGAGGUCACUUUAGGGAUAGAAGUCACUUUAGGGAUAGAAGUCACUUUAGGGAUAGAAGGAAGAGAGGUCACCUUAGGGAUAGAAGGAAGAGAGGUCACUUUAGGGAUAGAAGUCACUUUAGGGAUAGAAGUCACUUUAGGGAUAAAAGGAAGAGAGGUCACUUUAGGGAUAGAAGGAAGAGAGGUCACCUUAGGGAUAGAAGGAAGAGAGGUAUCUUUUGGGAUAAAAGGGAGAGAGGUCGCCUUGGGGAUAGAAGGAAGAGAGGUUACUUUAGGGAGAGAGGGAGACGUCACUAGGGUUAGAAGGGAGAGAAGGAGAGGUCACUAGGGUUAGAAGGGAGAGAGGGAGAGGUCACUAGGGUUAGAAGGGAGAGAAGAAGAGGUCACUAGGGUUAGAAGGAAGAGAAGAAGAGGUCACUAGGGUUAGGGUUAGAAGGGAGAGAAGGAGAGGUCACUAGGGUUAGGGUUACAAUGAAGAGAAUGAGAGGUCACUUUAGGGUUACAAUGAAGAGAA